UGGGGAAUAUUGCACAAUGGGGGAAACCCUGAUGCAGCGACGCCGCGUGAGCGAAGAAGGCUUUCGAGUCGUAAAGCUCUGUCCUAUGAGAAGAUAAUGACGGUAUCAUAGGAGGAAGCCCUGGCUAAAUACGUGCCAGCAGCCGCGGUAAUACGUAUGGGGCGAGCGUUGUCCGGAAUUAUUGGGCGUAAAGGGUACGUAGGCGGUUUUUUAAGUCAGGUGUCAAAGCGUGGAGCUUAACUCCAUUAAGCACUUGAAACUGAAAGACUUGAGUGAAGGAGAGGAAAGUGGAAUUCCUAGUGUAACGGUGAAAUGCGUAGAUAUUAGGAGGAAUACCGGUGGCGAAGGCGACUUUCUGGACUUUUACUGACGCUCAGGUACGAAAGCGUGGGGAGCAAACAGG
rnacentral:rRNA from 1 species